AAUCAGAGAUAGCAUUAAAGAAGAUUUCAACAGAGGAGGCAAAAAGAGCUCCAUUGAUUCAGGCUGAGAAGAACCAUGGAAAUACUCGCAGGCCAAGAACAAGAGAAGUUAGUUCUAGGUACAGGUCACCUACUCCAUCAGCUUCCUCUGGCCCUAGACGUUGUUCUUCUCCAAAUGUCACGAGAAUUGGAACUACUGCAUCAACACUUUCAUUACCUAAGAGAGCUAUAUCGGCUGAAAGGAGACGGCCAACGACUCCUUUAUCACCUACCAGUCCAUCACCAUCAACACCUGUACAGGAUACAUCUGCAGAAGAAUUGUUGUCCAGAAAGAUGACAGGCAAUAGGUUGGCAGAAUCUUUAUGGCCCUCAACAAUG
rnacentral:misc_RNA from 1 species